GACGGGAAAGACGAACUUCAGUACGGUUGGUUUGGCCAUCUGGUCGCGGGUUAUGCUGAAGCUCCAAACCGGACGAGUGCGGGUCAAGACGGUACACGGCCCGAGCGGUAUGUUCGGCCCGAUCGAUGGACUGAACCUCAGUUGCGUUGUUCCGGACGUUCUGAUCCUCGUUCUGAUCUGAAUCCAUGGACUGAUCCUCGGACUGGGGC
rnacentral:lncRNA from 1 species